rnacentral:tRNA from 1 species
GGGGUUGUGGCUCAGUGGUAGAGCACUUGCCUAGCACGUGCAAGGCCCUGGGUUCAAUCCUCAGCACCA